rnacentral:lncRNA from 1 species
GAAGCUUUGCUGGCUUUCACUAGCAGAAGUGCCAGGCGGAGGAGCUUGUGUCACAUGAGGAGGUGGUGGUGGUGGUGGGUAGUGCAUUCCAUAAGGAGGCAUAUGUUGACCAGGGACAGUAUGGUAAGAACCAGGAGGAGGAGGCGGAGGAGCGUAUGGAGAAUAGGAAGGAACAGGAGGACCCCAAGGAACUGGAGCCGGUGAAUAUGAAGGAUUUGGCAGUUGCCCACCAGCGCCAUAUUGUUGUGAUGGUGGAGGAGGAUAAGAUUGAGUAGGUGGCGGAGGUGCCGGUGGCCCAGGAGGCGGUGCCGGUUUACCAGCAAUCCUGACAGCAAGUGUUUUACCUUCUAACCGAUAACCAUUCAUCGCCUGUAUUGCCGAAUUGGCCAUCUGGACAU